rnacentral:tRNA from 1 species
GGAGAAGUACUCAAGAGGCUGAAGAGGACGGUUUGCUAAACCGUUAGGGUUCAUAUUAGGGCCGCAUGGGUUCGAAUCCCAUCUUCUCCG